UCCUUUUUGAUAAGUACCGUGGGAUCUCUAACAUCCACGUAAACCACUAACAGCUUAGACAGACGGAACCUUUCUUAGAGUGUGUUUUUUUCAGAAAUAAUUAAAACAGAAGUGAUCCCGUUUACAAGGGUAGUUAGCUGUAUAAGGAAGCUGAGUGACUUGUAACGCUGCAUCAUCGGCAAGUGAGGGCUGCGGUCCAUUGAAAUCCUGUUUGUGAGUCAUUUCUAUGUGUUAGCAUUAUCAUGGUGCACCAGACGUAAUCUUUUUCUGAACACAACCACUAAACUUUGAGCUAUGAAAGUGUACAGCAUCACAACCCUGUGAAUCAGGUUAACUCUGAGAAGGAUCAUAGGAUUCUCUGAAACCCAGGAAAUAUGUGGGCGGUGAUAUC